UACAGAGGUCUCAAGCGUUGUUCGGAUUCAUUGGGCGUAAAGCGCGUGUAGGCGGCCCGGUAAGUCCGCUGUGAAAGUCGGGGGGCUCAACCCUCGGAUGCCGAUCGAUACUGUCGGGCUAGAGUCCGGAAGAGGCGAGUGGAAUUCCCGGUGUAGCGGUGAAAUGCGCAGAGAUCGGGAGGAACACCCGUAGCGAAGGCGGCACUCUGGGCCGGUACUGACGCUGAGGAGCGAAAGCGUGGGGAGCAAACAGG
rnacentral:rRNA from 1 species